rnacentral:rRNA from 1 species
UACAGAGGGUGCAAGCGUUAAUCGGAAUUACUGGGCGUAAAGCGCACGUAGGCGGCUAUGUAAGUCAGGUGUGAAAUCCCCGGGCUCAACCUGGGAACUGCACUUGGGACUGCAUGGCUAGAGUAUGGGAGAGGAAGGCGGAAUUCCCGGUGUAGCGGUGAAAUGCGUAGAUAUCGGGAGGAACAUCAGUGGCGAAGGCGGCCUUCUGGCCCAAUACUGACGAUCAGGUGCGAAAGCGUGGGGAGCAAACAGG